AUCUUGAAAAUCAUGGCUUGGAGAUUCCAGGUUUGAAUAUGUCCGAAGCUCCUAAGGAUUCCAUGGAAGUUGACCUGGUGCAGAAAACAGAAAA